rnacentral:rRNA from 1 species
GGCAGGCCUAACACAUGCAAGUCGAGCGGUAGCACAGAGAGCUUGCUCUCGGGUGACGAGCGGCGGACGGGUGAGUAAUGUCUGGGAAACUGCCUGAUGGAGGGGGAUAACUACUGGAAACGGUAGCUAAUACCGCAUAACGUCGCAAGACCAAAGUGGGGGACCUUCGGGCCUCAUGCCAUCAGAUGUGCCCAGAUGGGAUUAGCUAGUAGGUGGGGUAACGGCUCACCUAGGCGACGAUCCCUAGCUGGUCUGAGAGGAUGACCAGCCACACUGGAACUGAGACACGGUCCAGACUCCUACGGGAGGCAACAGUGGGGAAUAUUGCACAAUGGGCGCAAGCCUGAUGCAGCCAUGCCGCGUGUGUGAAGAAGGCCUUCGGGUUGUAAAGCACUUUCAGCGGGGAGGAAGGCGAUAAGGUUAAUAACCUUGGCGAUUGACGUUACCCGCAGAAGAAGCACCGGCUAACUCCGUGCCAGCAGCCGCGGUAAUACGGAGGGUGCAAGCGUUAAUCGGAAUUACUGGGCGUAAAGCGCACGCAGGCGGUCUGUCAAGUCGGAUGUGAAAUCCCCGGGCUUAACCUGGGAACUGCAUUCGAAACUGGCAGGCUAGAGUCUUGUAGGGGGGGGUAGAAUUCCAGGUGUAGCGGUGAAAUGCGUAGAGAUCUGGAGGAAUACCGGUGGCGAAGGCGGCCCCCUGGACAAAGACUGACGCUCAGGUGCGAAAGCGUGGGGAGCAAACAGGAUUAGAUACCCUGGUAGUCCACGCCGUAAACGAUGUCGACUUGGAGGUUGUGCCCUUGAGGCGUGGCUUCCGGAGCUAACGCGUUAAGUCGACCGCCUGGGGAGUACGGCCGCAAGGUUAAAACUCAAAUGAAUUGACGGGGGCCCGCACAAGCGGUGGAGCAUGUGGUUUAAUUCGAUGCAACGCGAAGAACCUUACCUGGUCUUGACAUCCACGGAAGUUUUCAGAGAUGAGAAUGUGCCUUCGGGAACCGUGAGACAGGUGCUGCAUGGCUGUCGUCAGCUCGUGUUGUGAAAUGUUGGGUUAAGUCCCGCAACGAGCGCAACCCUUAUCCUUUGUUGCCAGCGGUCCGGCCGGGAACUCAAAGGAGACUGCCAGUGAUAAACUGGAGGAAGGUGGGGAUGACGUCAAGUCAUCAUGGCCCUUACGACCAGGGCCACACACGUGCUACAAUGGCGCAUACAAAGAGAAGCGACCUCGCGAGAGCAAGCGGACCUCAUAAAGUGCGUCGUAGUCCGGAUUGGAGUCUGCAACUCGACUCCAUGAAGUCGGAAUCGCUAGUAAUCGUGGAUCAGAAUGCCACGGUGAAUACGUUCCCGGGCCUUGUACACACCGCCCGUCACACCAUGGGAGUGGGUUGCAAAAGAAGUAGGUAGCUUAACCUUCGGGAGGGCGCUUACCACUUUGUGAUUCAUG